rnacentral:rRNA from 1 species
CCUACGGGCGGCAGCAGUAGGGAAUCUUCGACAAUGGGCGAAAGCCUGAUGGAGCAAAGCCGCGUGGGUGAAGAAGGUCUUCGGAUCGUAAAACCCUGUUGUUAGAGAAGAAAGGGCGUGAGAGUAACUGUUCACGUUUCGACGGUAUCUAACCAGAAAGCCAAGGCUAACUACGUGCGAGCAGCUGCGGUAAAACGUAGGUGGCAAGCUGUAUUCGGUUUUAUUGGGCGUAAACGGGACGCAGGCGGUCUUUUAAGUCUGAUGUGAAAGCCUUCGGCUUAACCGGCGUAGUGCAUUGGAAACUGGGAGACUUGAGUGGAGAAGAGGAGUGUGGAACUCGAUGUGUAGCGGUGAAAUGCGUAGAUAUAGGGAAGAACACCAGUGGCGAAAGCGGCUCUCUGGUCUGUAACUGACGCUGAGGUUCGAAAGCGUGGGUAGCAAACAGGAUUAGAUACCCCAGUAGUC